UACGAAGGGGGCUAGCGUUGCUCGGAAUCACUGGGCGUAAAGCGCACGUAGGCGGACUCUUAAGUCGGUGGUGAAAUCCUGGAGCUCAACUCCAGAACUGCCUUCGAUACUGGGAGUCUCGAGUCCGGGAGAGGUGAGUGGAACUGCGAGUGUAGAGGUGAAAUUCGUAGAUAUUCGCAAGAACACCAGUGGCGAAGGCGGCUCACUGGCCCGGUACUGACGCUGAGGUGGCGAAAGCGUGGGGAGCGAACAGG
rnacentral:rRNA from 1 species